rnacentral:tRNA from 1 species
CGCGGGGUGGAGCAGACAGGUAGCUCGCUGGGCUCAUAACCCAGAGGUCGAAGGUUCAAAUCCUUCCCCCGCAACCA